UACGGAGGGGGCUAGCGUUGCUCGGAAUCACUGGGCGUAAAGGGUGCGUAGGCGGGGCUUUAAGUCAGGGGUGAAAUCCUGGAGCUCAACUCCAGAACUGCCUUUGAUACUGAAGAUCUUGAGUCCGGGAGAGGUGAGUGGAACUGCGAGUGUAGAGGUGAAAUUCGUAGAUAUUCGCAAGAACACCAGUGGCGAAGGCGGCUCACUGGCCCGGUACUGACGCUGAGGCACGAAAGCGUGGGGAGCAAACAGG
rnacentral:rRNA from 1 species